rnacentral:lncRNA from 1 species
UACUCUGUAAUACUUUUAAUAGUUUAUACUUUAAAAACUUAUUUCCAGAUAAUUUCAGAGAAAUUACACUAACAAUAUACUGAUCAUGAAUGAGGCUACGCUCCAAAAUGACUUAUAACAAAUAUUUUUAAAGUGUCAUGCAAAACAAUUAUUUGACAAUAUAAAGAGUUUUCUCUGUGAAGUCUUGAACAUUUCCUUAGUUUUAUCUGAGAUACAGAGGCCCUCUUGUGGUGGC